AUUGAACGCUGGCGGCAGGCCUAACACAUGCAAGUCGAGCGGAUGAAGGGAGCUUGCUCCUGGAUUCAGCGGCGGACGGGUGAGUAAUGCCUAGGAAUCUGCCUGGUAGUGGGGGAUAACGUCCGGAAACGGGCGCUAAUACCGCAUACGUCCUGAGGGAGAAAGUGGGGGAUCUUCGGACCUCACGCUAUCAGAUGAGCCUAGGUCGGAUUAGCUAGUUGGUGGGGUAAAGGCCUACCAAGGCGACGAUCCGUAACUGGUCUGAGAGGAUGAUCAGUCACACUGGAACUGAGACACGGUCCAGACUCCUACGGGAGGCAGCAGUGGGGAAUAUUGGACAAUGGGCGAAAGCCUGAUCCAGUCAUGCCGCGUGUGUGAAGAAGGUCUUCGGAUUGUAAAGCACUUUAAGUUGGGAGGAAGGGCAGUAGGAUAAUACCUUGCUGUUUUGACGUUACCAACAGAAUAAGCACCGGCUAACUUCGUG
rnacentral:rRNA from 1 species